GCGGAGGGUGGGCCGGACAGAAAGGGUUGAAGAAGGAGAGAGAGAAGGAUGCAGGAUCAGAAGAGGCAACAGCAGACUGAGUGAAAGAUGGAGAAGUAGGACAAGUGCGUUCAGACGUCGACAGCGAUGCGGCUAAUACUCGACCCAGAAUGGAGGGAGGAUGGAACGGAGGAGAGGAUGUCGGUCGCAUAUGUCUUUAUUUCCUUUCAUCCACACGCACUGACCUGAAGGCUGCCGACAAACACUGCCUUGAACCUUUCUCUCAGCGAGUGGAGGAACUGAUAGUUUGGAUCCCUUCACAGGCUUUGGUGGCUUGAAACUUGAAUCAGUAAAUCAGCUCCACAUCAACUGCCGCACAACCAGAGGAUGCAUCUGCCUCUCCAAGAAUGAGUUGUGGAUGGACAUCACGCCCCUGACCUCUAAACAUCUGCGAGGGACAGACCACCAUGGAUGGGAUCAGUCUGUGUCUCUGUGGGUGGAAGACUGAGACACAGAAAGACAAACAGAAGGCUAUUGAACCAGGCAGAGUGUGAGUUUAGGCAAAUCUGAAGCCUCCAAGAAACUCACCUCAAUUUUUGCAAGACAGUCCAACAGUCUUAUUGAUAAGACUAAAGCAGUUUUAGGAUUUACUGGUUUUUUAAAUGCUUUUUUUAGGUACUUUUUAUUCAACCUUGAUAGAUUCCGGCAUAUUUGGGUGAAAGUGUUGAGAAAAGUUAAUAUUUUCUUCCUGGCAACAGCAGCAGGAAGUAAAUAGGAAGUCACCUCAUUUGCUAAAUCACAAGGCAACCUAAAUAACACCUUCUGAUCUAUUUCCGACUCAUGGUUCCACAAAAUGAUAUUUCUGUUAUAAGUUUUUCCAUUUUUAAUGUAGAAAUUCUCCAGCUUGCACAAGUAAAGAGUGGAAAUUAGUUCAUUUUAAUUGAAUUUCUGCUCAUUUUAAUUGUUUCCUUCAUAUAGGAGCAAGGUCUAAUUAUUUCUACACAUUUUACUCUGCAGAUGAAGAGCGUCCCCAUUUUGGAAAGAAGGUUAAAGUCUGUCUAAGGUGCAAUUAAAUAGCUGAAUGGUUGAAGGUUUCCGGUCUACACUUCAACACUGAAGUCUACAGCAGGUCUGGCUGAAUUUGCACUGGAAAGGGUGAAGUAACAGAAAAGGAGAGUGAAUGGGGAUUGGGGGAUUGUGGGUGUGAGUGGGUGGGUGGGUAUGCUCACCCUCUGUGAAUUUGCUUCUGUGUGUUUUCCUGUGUUUGACAAAGUUCGGGAGGAGGGGGCGAUGGGGGGUAUCUGAGGAAAGAAAAGGGAAAAUGAGAGCAAGUGGAGGAUUUGAAUGUGGUGUAGAAGGAGGGAGGAUUUUUGGAGGGAAAUGGAGGACCGGGAAGCUUGAAGUUUGUGUGGCCAGACUGUGUGCAGCUUCACAGCAAGAGGAGCGUAAAUUGGUCAGAUUUAUAGAUUGAACCUGCAGGAAGCAUCUUUGCAGGCUGGGAAAUAUGUAUAGAGAAAGAGAAAAUGCAAGAGAGGGACAGAGCGGCCUAGUUGGAGGGCAGAGGGGGGGAUCAAGAGCGAGGCUGCAUUAAUAUGCUAAUGUCUUGAGUGAAUGCACAACAGGCCCACUGACCAGGCUAAUCACUAGUGGACACACACUGAGGCUAAUCCCUAAAGCGGCACUGACACACACGGGAGAGGAGCACAUAUUUAGAUAGUGACAUCUUCAGCAUUAAUUAGUGUCCCUGUUGGAUAUCCCUGAAACGAUCAGGUUUGGGUUUAGGUUUUUUAAAUUAAGCUGAAACUUAGUGACAGCAGGAGGAUUUCAGGUCAGAAGGUAGAGGAACAACUGAUUGCUUCUGUCUGAUUACUAAUCACAAAUAUUAAGGGUUUAUUUGUUGCAGGAAGAAUUUAAUGCAAAUUAAACCACAGAGAGACAAAAACAAUCCAGAGGAGCAUCAAGAGGUUUGCAAACUUUAGACAGCAAAAAACUGUUUCCAACAAAACAAAACAAAAGUAAUCCUUUUAAACUGGCAAAGAUGCUGAAACAUCAUCAUCUGUUAAAAUCAAGAUAACAGGGGUGUAAAGUGGUUUAAUGUCUACAACAUAUAUCAAUGCUGUGAAAGAUUAAGAUAAAACUUUCUUUAUUCCUUAUAUUUAAACUUCAGUUCCUUUUAUUUCCCAUGACAACUUAUUUCAUAUGAUGUGUUUAAUUCUGAUGCCUUUGUAGUUUUGUUAACAUGUUUUCUAAAUGUAAGCAAUAAAAAAAAUGUGAUAUCAUUAAAUCUG